rnacentral:lncRNA from 1 species
CAACAACAUGGUGGCCGAUUUUGUUAUUUUCGUAUAAAAAAUGAGGGCAGUUAAUGACAAAUACAUCUGAAUUUGCAAUUUAUUUCACGGAGAACAAGUAAAACGAUGUCUUCCAUGAGUUGUUUGUGGUUUUCAACUUUCUGGCAUUACGUUUUCUCCAUGAAACUACAGUAAACAUUGCAAAUUGUGCUCAGUUGUCGUAUGCACAUUUCUUCAAAGACUGAUUCUAUUUGAAUGAAUUAAUGUUGAUGAUCAUUAAUGACCCAUCCAAUAAACGGAUCACCUAUAACAACAGAUUAUGACACCAGUUGUAACCGUUGAUUAGUUUGGGGUUGUAAAACAAAGUCAUAAACUUUUCGCCAGGUAAAAUUUAGUAAUUAGCGGAUCAUAUCAAUACGAACAAAAUAAUAUACAAUCGAUCUUCAA